GGUUUAUUGAGGUAACGGUAACCUUCCCGACUGUCUCUCGGGUACUGCAGGUUCGAUUCCCGCAUAGACCGC
rnacentral:tRNA from 1 species